UGAGGAUUAGGCUACCUCUACAUAAUUACGUCAUGCUUUGUAAAUGACUUAUCAGUUAUAGCUAUCAGUAUUGUGUGUGUGUGACUGGUCCUUUAAAUCUCUGCAGGAAUUUUAGCUGGUCCCUGUCUAAUUUUCUGCAUUUUUCCCACCAUCAAACCCUCAAGCUAUGCCCCAAGUAGAGACAUGUACGGUAGACCGUCAAAUUAUGCCCCAAGCAAAGAUGUGUAUGGGGCAGAGAUGCACUCGCAGCCAGCCUACUCGUACUACCCAGAAGAUGAAAUACAGCAUUAUUACAAGUGGAGCUCCCCUCCUGGUAUAAUAAAGAUCAUGUAUCUUCUUAUCGUGGUCAUGUGUGUUGGUAUAUUUGCGUGCGUAGCUUCGACUCUGCCCUGGGAUCUCGACAUCACUGGACAAUCUAUGGGUUAUGGCAUCGGGAGCGGGAGUUACAGUGGUGCAUACACCGGAUAUGGCUUUGGAGACUCGCAGAUGGGCUUGGGCUUUGCAUACGGAAGAAAUUCUACAGACCCAAAAGCAGCAAAAGGCUUUAUCCUCGCUAUGGCUGCUUUUUGCUUUAUCAUUGGUAUGGUGAUAUUUGUAAUGACUGUAACAAGGACUCAGAGUUCCACCACCAGAAAAUUCUACCUCAUUGUUAAAAUUGUCAGCGCAAUAUUUGGAGCCCUGGUCUUCAUUGCCACCAUUGUUUCUACUAUAGGAGUAAAUCCUGUCGCUCAGGCUUUUGGAUCGGCAUUCUACACCCAAAUUGUUUCAAUAUGCAACCAGUUCUAUUCCCCAGUACAAACCCGCUUGGCAUUGGCCUGCGUGGAGCUACUUGGAUUGAGAUUGGCCUGAAAAUGUGUGCGUUUUAUUAAGCUGAUCAUAGGCAGAGGAAAUAGAAAAAUCCACUUUGUGUGCCCUUGCACUAAUACUUAGUGAUUUCAUACUGUGAUGCUUCAUUUUCUGCUAUACAGAUACUGGAAAGAGGUCAAAUGUAAUUUCCAUUAGCAUUUGUAUAUUUCAUAAUAGAACUUCUGAAGCAACAGUAUAUAAUAUUUCAAUGUAUAUGAAGACCUUUUAUUGAUGCCACUGGUCCUUUAAGACAGAUUUUAUUACCUCUUUGCAGUAUACAAUUAUUGCAGUAUACAAUUAUUACAGCUUUACCAGACUCUUGUAUAUACUGACAGAUGGGCAUGCACUUACAGCAAGUUUCAUGUAAAUAUAGCUGCACAGAGAGCCAACUCUGUCAUUACUGAACACAGAUUCAAAUUAUUUUAAAUCAGUUCCGCUCUUUUUUUCUUUUUUUUUUCUCCCUCCUUAAUUGGCUACAUGUGCAGUAGUCCUAAUUGCGCCGAAUAUUUCUGAUGGCCAAUCCCUAAGGCUAAUAGCUAUCAUUGGCAACCUGUAAAACGCUUGCCGAGAAUACGCCCCUCCACUAGAAAAAACUUCUGCUUGUGCCUUCACUGGGAAGCAUUGAAAAUGCUUGGAUGCAUUUAAGCUGAUAUCUGCCAAAAACGUGAGACUUUGCUUAUCAGCUACAUGUGCCUGCACCCAAGCGUAUUCUAUUCAUUCAGGUGCAGGCACAGGUAGGAGUGUAUGGCGCGUGCGUAUGGAUUGCCAAAAAUAUACGGCAUACGCAUGGUGUGGCAAUAGCCUAAAUUGCUUUUGCAGUGGGUUUGUCUGGGAUGAAAUCAGCUGGGUUUAAAUAAUGCUCUGUCCAAGCUCAGGAGUCACGUCCAUGGAGGAAUGGUUUUGUAGUUCAGUUUACAAAAGACCAAAUGUUUUGAGCAUGUUCUCUUUCAGUUGCAAAAAGACAAUUUAUAUCGCCCUUUAUAUUGCAGCUUUACAGCCUAGGUCUGUCACCCAGCAUAAAAAAGGAUAUUCAUAAGUUAAAAAAACUAUUGCUGUGACUAAAUAUAGUGUAAUGGAAUCAUUUAUUUUGCAGGUACAGGAUCUAGUAUCCAGAUUGCUGGGGUUUUUUCAUAUAAGGGAUCUAUCUCCAUACCUUUUAGUCUGCUAAAAAGUAUUUAAACAUUAAAUAAACCUAAUAGGAUUAUUUUGUCUUUAAUAAAGAUUAAUUAUGUCUUA